rnacentral:lncRNA from 1 species
UGGGUUCACAUGUAGCACUCGUUGAUCCUUAAUUGGAAAUAGGCGAGGUAGAUGUAGCACUCGUUGAUCCUUAAUUGGAAAUAGGCGAGGUAGAUGUAGCACUUGUUGAUCCUUAAUUGAAAAUAGGCGAGGUAGAUGUAGCACUCGUUGAUCCUUAAUUGGAAAUAGGCGAGGUAGUAAACGGUGAUCCUUCAUUGGAAAUAGACGUAGCACACGUUGAUCCUUAAUUGGAAAUAGGCG